ACCGCCCCCUGCAGGGCCCGUUACUCACUGGACAUCUGGAAGUGGUUGUGCAGCGCCCGCGAGCUCGUGCUCUCCGCCGCCUUCUCGAAGGCUCUUCCGAAAAAGCUGAGGCAGGAGCAGAAACACCAGUGAGUGGCACGGGAAAGGAUGUUUACUGAGAUUCUUCAAUCAUCUCCCGAAGAUUUUCUUUCAAAGACAUGUCCAUGGAAUUAAACUUCUGUUUCACUUGCUUCAAGGGCAAACUAAGAACAGAAGGAAAAAAUUCAUUGACAGUCAUUGAAAAGCGAAUACAAAGAAGCAGAGUUUACUUUGCUGAGCUGCCAUUCCAUAAAAGCAUACAGCAAGUGUUCCCUGUAAACCAAUACACAAGUUGUGUAACUCAGAGACACUGCCACCCAUUCAGAGCCCCACAAUCAUAUUUAAAAGCUGACAGCUUGAGUACUUGCAAGCUAUAUUCUGAAUAUUUUCCUGUAAGGCAUUGGAAAAAAUUAUCCAAAGUUUUGUAACUCACCCCAUGUCAGCCAAAAACUCCUGGAGCCUCUUCUGCCCUUGCACAGACCAAAGCUUGAGGCUGGCAGAGGUGUAGCAGGUGUUACAGAGACUUUCAUAGAGAGACCAGUGCUGGUACAGUGCCAGGCGCAGGCUGAGCAGGAGUUAUGGCAAAUAAUGGCAAACACAAAUAUCCUCUGACCCUACAAACUCCACCAGUAGGAUUCAGCUGCCCUUACAUAUUGCAUGCCUGUGCUGCAUAACAUGCAGAGAGCAGCUCAGGUGGGUAACCCAAGGGCAGCAAUGGUGACUUGUAACCAGGUCUGAAAGGUUAAGCUGGACUGAAGCCCCACGAGCAGCUGGAAGAGGGACCCAUGCACAGCAAAACAUUUGGAGUUCCCUUUAUUUUAUUUCCAUUCUCAGCAGAGAUGGUGCUGGGAUUUUUUGUCCCCUAGAUAAAAACUCCAGAGGGGUUCACCCCAACCUUCUUUAAGGAUACUCAUACUCAAAUGCAAUUCUCAUGCAGUCAAUGGACAGAGAGUUCUCCUCAUCCUCGUUGCGGUGGUUGUGGCGGGACACGUGGCGCUGCAGGAUCCCGAUGUCAGUCACGUACUUCAUUCUGCGACAAAAGCAAGGAUGUCACUUCACCUUCUGCCUGGGAAUUUUUGUUCUUGAUUACAAAAAAAUAAAAAUGCUUCCUAAAGUCUACA